rnacentral:rRNA from 1 species
CCUACGGGAGGCAGCAGUGGGGAAUUUUGGACAAUGGGCGCAAGCCUGAUCCAGCAAUGCCGCGUGCAGGAUGAAGGCCUUCGGGUUGUAAAGCUCUUUCGGCAGGAACGAAACGGCGGACUCUAACAUAGUCUGUCAAUGACGGUACCUGAAGAAGAAGCACCGGCUAACUACGUGCCAGCAGCCGCGGUAAUACGUAGGGUGCGAGCGUUAAUCGGAAUUACUGGGCGUAAAGCGUGCGCAGGCGGCUUUGUAAGACGGAUGUGAAAUCCCUGGGCUUAACCUAGGAACUGCGUUCGUGACUGCAAAGCUGGAGUGCGGCAGAGGGGGGUGGAAUUCCCGGUGUAGUGGUGAAAUGCGUAG